GCCGAAGUGGCGGAACUGGUAGACGCAAGGGAUUUAAAAUCCCUCGGUCGCAAGGCCGUGCCGGUUCGAUUCCGGUCUUCGGCA
rnacentral:tRNA from 1 species